rnacentral:lncRNA from 1 species
CCUGUCACCUCCAGCUCCACCAGCAGCAGGAGCAUGGGCACAUCUCUCAUCAGCACACCUCUCCUCCUGGUGUCACUGGUAUUAAACACACCUGGGCAGGCAGGUGGGAGUUCCUGGAGCCCUGAUUCAGCCACACCCUGAAUGUGUGGCUGGGGCUUGUUUCCAGCCCUGCUUCACAUUCCACACAGCCCCGGGUGAGUUGUGGCCCUGCCGGUCUCUCGUUCAUUUUUGAUGCAUUCAGGAUCGUAAGGAGCUGUUAUUUUAUGAUGGAUUAAUGAUUCUGUAUUUGCUUUUAGCCUGUUUUAUGGUGCCCCAUGUGCCUUGGCUGUAACUCUUCUGUUUAUUUGUUUUAUUAUCCCAACUGGCUGCUCAUGGGAGCACCCACUGUUCUCAGCAUGGGCUCACAGAGAGGAUGGGGGAGAUGUCCCAGCCCAGGUAAGGCUCAGCUCACCUCGGCUGGGGAAAUGUGGAUUUGGAGCUGGACUUGGGAGAUCAGAUGUGAUUGAGAGGUGGGGGCUGCCAGGGAAGGGGAAGGAAAGGGAAGGAAGAGGAAGGUUAGGGAAGGGAAGAGGAAGGGGAUGCAGGAAGCAAUAUCUGCUUUAAUUCAGGGACUCUCUCAGUGCAUCCCCCCACCGUGUGCAGUACCCUGGAGCCAAAGGAGCUGCAGCAAGGAGCCAAGGGCUGAGGAGAGGCAGAGAGGAGCUGUCCCAGCUGCAGGUCACAUCCCCACAGCUGGAACCCUUCUCCAUGCUGGCCUGGGUGCAGGUGAGCUGCUCCUGACAUCAGCCAGGUCCUCUAAAGGAUUUCUCUCAAUCCCUCAAGCAUGCUUGUGGGAUCUAUUGCAGGCAGAUGCUGAGAUGCAGCUCCGGUUUGCC